CUGAAAUAUAUCUGUAAUUAUUCUGGUACACUCAGAUGUUUAUAUUUUAAGAAUCUAUAUCUACAAUGUAGUUAAAGAGGUGUUUUAUAAUUAAGUAAUUAAAUAUAAGCAUAUUCCAUUUAUGUAACAGAUAAAGUGGGUCUUUGAUUCACUUGGCUGCGACACUCAUUUCAUCUAUUUAUGCAAUUGCACGUUCAUAUGUACGAAAGCCAGCUCAGAUUUUUCUUCCUCCAAAGUCCUCCUUCAAGGACUUCUCAGAGCCUUAAGUAUAUGCUAACAUAAAAUAUAAAUCUCCAAAUGAAAAAUAUUACUGGCACUAUUCCCAAAUUUAUUUUUCCUCAAUGCAACUUUAUUCUAGGAGCAUCUGAAAAAAAUGUACUUCUAUUUGGCAAACUUUUAAAAUGCUGCUCUUUUACAUGAUUACUUUUUGUUGUUGUUAGUUUCCGAUACACCAAGGCCUAGCUUCUCUUUUCAGACAGACCCUUUUAUCAUGGAGAGAAAAGCAACGGCCCAUAAAAAGAGUGUUUUGAAAGCUAGCACUAUGACAUUACCAAGUUUUUCCAUCAUUAUUUUUUCUUUCACCACGUGACCUUAUGUUGUUCGGUAACUAAGAAGGUCUUCUAAUGUUUAAAAUUAUACUGAUGCAUAUGUGUGUGUGUGUGU
rnacentral:lncRNA from 1 species